CCGAGAGGUUGGGAAGUACUGAGCUGGGUACUAUCCUGCAUCGGGAGUUUGGCCAUUCUUAGACACAGGCAGUAGGGAACGUAAGGCCAUAGGCUGCUGUCUGGAGAUUUCGAUCAGACAAACCUUAGGAAGUGGGUUGCGAUCCACUGGCGUUCUGCUCUUUCUCAAAAGCUAUUUAUAAUAUUUUGUUAUAUUACUAUGGAGGCUUAUAUUAUUGAUCUUGUAAGCUUAUAUUAAGUUUAUUAUUCAUGAUUUACCUUAUUUAACCAUGUUAAAUUGUCAGCUGUGUUAUGAUUGUUACUUGGUUCAGUUUGACUUUUUUUUUUUGUUGAUUGAGACUUAUUUAUUAAUGCUUGAUAACUCCUAUGUGGAUCCUAAUUGAGCUGGGAGAGCUGUUAGUUACUCCCCACUGAUUGUGGAUAUUUGUUGUAUAUCUUUGCAGGUUAUGUUGAUGACAAUCUUAUUUGGUUUUGGGCUCGGGUUGAGAUGUGAGCAUUAAAAUGUUAGAUGUUUUAGGCCUACUCUUUUAUUAAUUUAAGAGUUAGUUUUCUCUUUUGGUUAUCAAUUUAAUUUAUUUAUACUAUUUAUUUAUGUUGGUUUUAUCACUUAGAUUUUUUUUAAACGCAUUUCUUGUAGUAGUGAUAUUCCCAGAAGACGAUGUUUCCGCCAUCGUCCUAUACUUCUAUUAUUAUUAUUUCUUUCU